rnacentral:rRNA from 1 species
ACUAUACCUAGCCCAAGUUUUUACCAUAAACCUAAUAAUUAAAAUAGAAUAAAUUAAAACAUUCACCCCCUGGAUUAAAGUAUAGGAGAUAGAAAUUCUAAAAAUGGCGCGAUAGAGAAAGUACCGCAAGGGAAUGAUGAAAGAAAAAUUAUCAAAGUACAAAAAAGCAAAGAUUACCCCUUGUACCUUUUGCAUAAUGAAUUAACUAGUAAAAACUUAACAAAAUGAAUUUUAGCUAAGUAACCCGAAACCAGACGAGCUACUUAUGAACAGUUAAUUAAGAACCAACUCAUCUAUGUAGCAAAAUAGUGAGAAGAUUUAUAAGUAGAGGUGAAACGCCUAACGAGCCUGGUGAUAGCUGGUUGUCCAGGAAAUGAAUAUCAGUUCAGCUUUAAAGAUACCAAAAAUACAAACAAAUUCACUGUAUCUUUAAAAGUUAGUCUAAAAAGGUACAGCCUUUUAGAAAUGGGUACAACCUUAACUAGAGAGUAAGAUCAAACAAAACCAUAGUAGGCCUAAAAGCAGCCAUCAAUUAAGAAAGCGUUAAAGCUCAACAACCAAACAAUAUUUAAUUCCAUCAACAAAUUAACCAACUCCUAGACCCACUACUGGACUAUUCUAUCAAAAAAAUAGAAGCAAUAAUGUUAAUAUGAGUAACGAGAAACAACUUCUCCCCGCAUAAGUUUAAGUCAGUGUCUGAUAAUACCCUGACUAUUAACAGUAAAUAAAAAUAACCCAAAAAUAAACAAUUUAUUCACUAUACUGUUAAUCCAACACAGGAGUGCACCCAGGAAAGAUUAAAAGAAGUAAAAGGAACUCGGCAAACACAAACCCCGCCUGUUUACCAAAAACAUCACCUCCAGCAUUCCCAGUAUUGGAGGCACUGCCUGCCCAGUGACAAACGUUAAACGGCCGCGGUAUUCUGACCGUGCAAAGGUAGCAUAAUCAUUUGUUCUUUAAAUAAGGACUUGUAUGAAUGGCCACACGAGGGUUUUACUGUCUCUUACUUCCAAUCAGUGAAAUUGACCUUCCCGUGAAGAGGCGGGAAUAAGAAAAUAAGACGAGAAGACCCUAUGGAGCUUUAACUAGUUAGCUUAAAGAAAAAAAACUUUACCACCAAGGAAUAACACUAAUCUUAAUAAACUAACAGUUUCGGUUGGGGUGACCUCGGAGAAUAAAAAACCCUCCGAGCGAUUUUAAAAACAAGACACACAAGUCAAAUUGAACUAUCGCUUAUUGAUCCAAAAUUUGAUCAACGGAACAAGUUACCCUAGGGAUAACAGCGCAAUCCUAUUCAAGAGUUCAUAUCGACAAUAGGGUUUACGACCUCGAUGUUGGAUCAGGACACCCCGAUGGUGCAACCGCUAUCAAAGGUUCGUUUGUUCAACGAUUAAAGUCCUACGUGAUCUGAGUUCAGACCGGAGUAAUCCAGGUCGGUUUCUAUCUAUUAUGAAUUUCUCCCAGUACGAAAGGACAAGAGAAAUAAGGCCAACUUCAAAAACGCGCCUUAAAUCAAUUAAUGACUCCGUCUCAAUUAACCCUACAAACAAGACUUGCCCUAGAAAAGGGCUUA